GACGGAGGGGGCAAGCGUUGUCCGGACUCAUUGGGCGUAAAGGGCGCGUAGGUGGCCCGGUCAGUCCGUGGUGAAAGCGCGGGGCUCAACCCCGCGUCGGCCAUGGAUACUGCUGGGCUGGAGCACUGUAGAGGCAGGCGGAAUUCCGGGUGUAGCGGUGGAAUGCGUAGAGAUCCGGAAGAACACCGGUGGCGAAGGCGGCCUGCUGGGCAGUUACUGACACUGAGGCGCGACAGCGUGGGGAGCAAACAGG
rnacentral:rRNA from 1 species